AACGAACGCUGGCGGCAUGCCUAACACAUGCAAGUCGAACGAGACCUUCGGGUCUAGUGGCGCACGGGUGCGUAACGCGUGGGAACCUGCCCUUAGGUUCGGAAUAACUCCCCGAAAGGGGUGCUAAUACCGGAUAAUGUCUUCGGACCAAAGAUUUAUCGCCUUUGGAUGGGCCCGCGUUGGAUUAGCCAGUUGGUAGGGUAAAAGCCUACCAAGGCGACGAUCCAUAGCUGGUCUGAGAGGAUGAUCAGCCACACUGGGACUGAGACACGGCCCAGACUCCUACGGGAGGCAGCAGUGGGGAAUAUUGGACAAUGGGCGAAAGCCUGAUCCAGCAAUGCCGCGUGAGUGAUGAAGGCCUUAGGGUUGUAAAGCUCCUUUACCCGGGAUGAUAAUGACAGUACCGGGAGAAUAAGCUCCGGCUAACUCCGUG
rnacentral:rRNA from 1 species